rnacentral:lncRNA from 1 species
GCUGCUUCCUGUCCCCCUAUCAUCACUUUACUUGCCUGUGCGGAACGCCAGAGGAGGACACUGAGCGCCCUCUUCAGCCACUUUUCUGUGAAACAGGGUCUCUCAUUGAACCUGAAGUUAGGCUGGUCGCCAGCAAGCACAGUAAUCCUCCUGCCUCUGCCCUCCACCGUGCUGGGAUUACCGAUGCACGGGGCCACACUCAGAAUUUUACAUGGGUGCUGGAGAUUCUAGCUCUGGACCUCGUACCUGCACAUGCUCUGGAGCUGAUUAAAACACUCUAAUAGAAAUAUCCCACGCUUUCUUUACCCUUUCAUUUCUUGAGGAACUUCUAGAGCAGUGGUUCUCUGCCUUCCUGAUGCUUCAGCCCUUUAAUACAAAUUCCUAACGCUGUGGUGACCCCCUACCAUACAAUUAUUUCGUUGCUACUUCAUAACUAUAUCCUUGCUAGUUAUCCAUUGUAAUGCAAAUAUUUGAUAUGUAGGAUAUUUGAUACUCGGCCACAAAGGGGGUCGGGACCCACAGGUAGAGAACCAGUGACCUAGUCUGAUAAACGCACACCCUCUCUUUAGUGGUAGAAAACUAGGGAGGAAAAAUACAAGAAGACUCCAUUAUCAUUCUCAGCUUCCACGUCUCAUUCAAAGCCUUCAAAACUACACUGGUUGACCGCAUCGAAGAAUAGGCCUCAAGCUGGAAUGAAAGAAGCUUCAGGAGUCUGUGAGAUCGAUGGCCAUCUACAUGGUGUGUGAUGGCUCAUCUUGUCAAUGUCACACUGAUCUGAAAUCAAUGAGACUUGCUGGGGUUACAAAGGAUUAAGUGAGGAGAUAAAACCCUAACCCAAAAGGGUGACCUCCAAGCCAGUAGGUAGUCCAGAUCUAAAGAGGUCUGAGGGAGAAUUAAUGCUGCUUUUUGUUUGUUUGUCUGACUUUACUUCUUGACGAUGACGAUGAUGAUGAUGAUGAUGAUGAUGAUGGUGGUGAUGAUGAUGAUGAUGACGAUGAUGAUGACGAUGGUGAUAAUGACGAUGAUGAUGAUGAUGAUGAUGAUGAUGCAUCUUUCACAGCCCUCAGCCUUCAGCACAAAGUUGUAUAACUUACAAGACACUCCCAGAAAGUUGCUUCAGGCUCCCCAUCUGUAUCUGCCCUCAAUUCUUCUGAGAAAAAACAAUUCCUCCCAUGUCAAACUUCCAGUCUCCUCCCGAGCAGAGAGCAGAGCGAAGAGACUUCUAACAGCUUCUAACAAAAGGAAAACAAUUCUAGGAAACCUGACUUCUGGGCCCUGCUAAAGAGACCACCCAGGGAUGGAGCUAGUUCCAACAUGACAACAGGCAAUCAAGCACAAAGGACAAAAUCCUGGUCCCUGUCUAUUCCCCGGUUUAAAAAGCGCGUGUAAUGGAAAAUACCCUCCCCGUGGGUGUUUUUCUUCACAUCUCCAACGAUGACCUUUGACAGCCACCUCCCCGAGGGAGCUGACAUCACCGUAUCUUUGGCAAAUCUGUUGAAAAUGUCCUCAGCUUUCUUUGCAGUCAAGAUAAACAUUCAUAGAUGAUAGCACCACCACCCCCCCAAAAAAACACCGUUUAAAUAAAAUGUUGGCUGUAAAUUCA